UACGAAGGGGGCUAGCGUUGCUCGGAAUCACUGGGCGUAAAGGGCGCGUAGGCGGCCAUUCAAGUCGGGGGUGAAAGCCCAGGGCUCAACCCUGGAAUUGCCUUCGAUACUGUUUGGCUAGAGACCGGAAGAGGUAAGUGGAACUGCGAGUGUAGAGGUGAAAUUCGUAGAUAUUCGCAAGAACACCAGUGGCGAAGGCGGCUCACUGGCCCGUAACUGACGCUCAUGCACGACAGCGUGGGGAUCAAACAGG
rnacentral:rRNA from 1 species